rnacentral:rRNA from 1 species
UACGGAGGGAGCUAGCGUUGUUCGGAAUUACUGGGCGUAAAGCGCACGUAGGCGGCUUUGUAAGUUAGAGGUGAAAGCCCGGGGCUACAACUCCGGAACUGCCUUUAAGACUGCAUCGCUUGAAUCCAGGAGAGGUGAGUGGAAUUCCGAGUGUAGAGGUGAAAUUCGUAGAUAUUCGGAAGAAACACCAGUGGCGAAGGCGGCUCACUGGCCCGAUACUGACGCUGAGGUGCGAAAGCGUGGGGAGCAAACAGG